AGUGAACGCUGGCGGUAGGCCUAACACAUGCAAGUCGAACGGCAGCACAGUAAGAGCUUGCUCUUACGGGUGGCGAGUGGCGGACGGGUGAGGAAUACAUCGGAAUCUACUUUUUCGGGGGGGAUAACGUAGGGAAACUUACGCUAAUACCGCAUACGACCUACGGGUGAAAGCAGGGGAUCUUCGGACCUUGCGCGAUUGAGUGAGCCGAUGUCGGAUUAGCUAGUUGGCGGGGUAAAGGCCCACCAAGGCGACGAUCCGUAGCUGGUCUGAGAGGAUGAUCAGCCACACUGGAACUGAGACACGGUCCAGACUCCUACGGGAGGCAGCAGUGGGGAAUAUUGGACAAUGGGCGCAAGCCUGAUCCAGCCAUACCGCGUGGGUGAAGAAGGCCUUCGGGUUGUAAAGCCCUUUUGUUGGGAAAGAAAAGCAGCAGGUUAAUACCCCGCUGUUCUGACGUUACCCAAAGAAUAAGCACCGGCUAACUUCGUG
rnacentral:rRNA from 1 species